GAGGCCGUUGGUGCUGGUGAAGAGCUGC
rnacentral:piRNA from 1 species